AAACCAAGAUCCCGGACCCAUCAGACUUAAACACUGGUCUAAGUGGCUAUAAAAAGAGUAAAAUUAAAAGUAAAACUGACAAAUUAUUUUGUGACAUAGUUUUGAACAAAC
rnacentral:snoRNA from 1 species